UACAGAGGGGGCAAGCGUUGUUCGGAAUUACUGGGCGUAAAGGGCGCGUAGGCGGCCCGCUAAGUCGAACGUGAAAUCCCCGAGCUCAACUCGGGAACUGCGUCCGAUACUGGCAGGCUUGAAUCCGGGAGAGGGAUGUGGAAUUCCAGGUGUAGCGGUGAAAUGCGUAGAUAUCUGGAGGAACACCGGUGGCGAAGGCGGCAUCCUGGACCGGUAUUGACGCUGAGGCGCGAAAGCUAGGGGAGCAAACGGG
rnacentral:rRNA from 1 species